rnacentral:rRNA from 1 species
UACGUAGGGAGCAAGCGUUGUCCGGAAUCAUUGGGCGUAGAGCGCGCGUAGGCGGCCCUGUAAGUCCGCUGUGAAAGUCAAAGGCUCAACCUUUGAAAGCCGGUGGAUACUGCAGGGCUAGAGUCCGGAAGAGGCGAGUGGAAUUCCUGGUGUAGCGGUGGAAUGCGCAGAUAUCAGGAGGAACACCCGUGGCGAAGGCGGCUCUCUGGAACGCAACUGACGCUGAGACGCGAAAGCGUGGGGAGCAAACAGG